ensembl:lncRNA
AUCCUUUGUGACCCAUUUUGUUCCAGCUGCCAUCACUGCAGCAUCCCACCAGGGCCACUCCGACCAACUGCCCAGAGAGGUGAUGGGUGCUCUGUCCCUGCAGACACCCGAGGUCAGAGCUGGACAGGGCUCUGAGCACCUGCUGGAGCUGUGGGUGCCUCUGUUCACUGCAGGGAGUUGGACCAGACAGCCUUUAAGGAUCCCUUCCUACUGAAACGAUUCUGCGAUCCUAUGAUUUAGCCACAGCAGUUGGGGUAAUUCCCUGCCAACCCCACAGGCAGCACUGGGUUUGCCACAUCCACCACAUCCAACCCACACCAGCCCCGAGCAGCGGUGCCACCGUGUACCGCUUGACCUGCUGAGUGACGCUUAGCGAUACGAGACAUGCCUGCUUUCUGCACAGCUCGUUUUUCUCUCCUGCAUGAGAAUAGCUUUGCUGGCAGCGAUGGGAGCCCACGCGCAGGAACAGCUUGCUGUUUGUACUCGGAGCACAGAAGUAGCAGAGCAGCCCGGCGUGGAUGAGCCCUGCUCUGCUUCCUGCUGCAGACAGCGUUAUUGGUGUUGAAGCAACGCUUGCCCUGGUGUGAGGCUGGGCAGCCCUGAGCAAAGAGCAGUAAUGCAGAGUCCUCAGGUUUUUUUGGGGUUUUCUCUCCAACACGUGCACACAGGCGCCAAUGGGGGCGGGGAGGCCCAGGCUGUGCUGAUUUAUUGGAGGAAAUACAACUUUAAACCCAUUCCCCCUCCCAGCAACUCUGCAGCUUUUCAGACGCAGCAUUAGCAGCUCUCGUGCUAUCCACACAGAUUGCUCCUCGAUCCCAAACGAAGGACGCAGCCAAGCUGUCCCCAGGUCCAACUACAGCUGACAGGCAGCUCUGCCUGGGCCGGACUGCAUGGAGCACAACCCAUGGGCACAGCACAGCGAGGGUCACACACACAGCCCUCACCCUCCCACCAUGCUCUCCUCGCACUCCCUCAAUGUCUCCUCCCCACUUUGUAAGUAUCUCUUCAAUGGAUGAAAAGAAAAAGCCAAGCAAAAAGCUAACUGGACUGUCUCCUUUGGAGUCUUUCCUUGUGGGAUUUCUCCUCUGUUGGCCCAGCACCUCCCUGUGCUACAUGUGCAUCUUCCGUUUGGGUCACUUAGCAAUUGGUUCCUCCCCUUGUCUUGAUCUCCUGUAUCUUCUAGUCUGCCAGUUACCAAUGGAUCUGCUCACAGAGGAGGAUCUAGCAGCUCAAGUCCUGGAAGAGCCCUGUGACGGGCUUUGCAAGCUCAGGCAGUGCUUUGGUGAAGCAGGUUUUGUGGGUGUUCUCCCCCAUGUUCUGCUGCAGAGAGCAGGAGAAACCCUCUGGUUGCCCUCUGAGCUGUCAGCCCCAGCUCUGGGUGCUUGGGGCAUCCCAGAUGUCAUAUGCAAGCAUCCGGAGCUUUAGCAGCAGAGAGCUGUAUGGUACCAUUUGCAUGCCUUCUCCAAGUGGUUUCAGCCUGAGAGCAAUGCCACAUCCAACAGCGAGAGCCCCGUGCCAGAUCUCUGCACCGAUAGCUCCAAAAGAUGAUUCACCAAAGAGGUAUUCAACCCAGGAUCUCCCCGUCCAAAGGGAAUACCCAGCGAUCUGAUCUCUCCAGCACUAUAUUUUACUCAGUGCUUAACACUGGCAAAACACUCAAUAGGACCCAUGGGGAUUUCUCUAUCUGCUAAUCCACUGCCUCUUCUCUCCGUUCCUCUCCGAGUUUUCAUUGUUGCUUUGGAUUUGACUUCACUCCGCUUCUUUUAAGGUAUGAGGCUGAUACAUAUCUCCAUAGAACUUCUAAACCUACUGACCCACUUCCAGCCAAGUUUAUGGGGAUAGGUGGAGACUUCAGAGAUAACAUUCCUGCAGCCACAGAGCGCAGCAGUGGGGCGGGCUGGGUGCCCUCUGCUUAGACAUCAUGUGCAGAUGCUGCCAUUUUCCCCAACCACGGGGAAACAAAGCAAAACGAGCUCAGAAUGAGAGCUCACGGUUUAAAACCCAACUGGCAGACAAGGCAAGCGGAGCACCCCCAGUGUGACAGCAGUCCCCGCCUCGCCACCGAGUGCUCUCCCAAAUGAACCAAAAGGACCACAGUGCUAAUGAGCCCCAGGCAAAGAGCAGAAGAGAUCAAGGAUGCUGCAAACAUCUCGUGUUCCUGCAGGAGCAGGGCAACGAGCACCAGCACACCCCUCCCUUCACAGCACACCUCUUGCUGUGCCCAAUCUCCCCGUUUAGAAGACGGCAGAAACAAUUUCAGGUGCCUGAUUGCUACACCGAAGGCUGCAAAGAAAAAAAUAAUCAUCUUUCCUUGCAGAACGCCUGGAGAAGCCCUGAAACACGAGAUUAAGGAUUCAACAUCACCCCAUCAAUUCCUCUCCCUCAGCAGCUCCUGCGGCCACCCUCCUGCACAAGAACAAGGAAGGAGAGGACACAUCCCAGCCUGGAGGUGACCCACACGGCACCCCAGACACACAACCGCUUUGCACUGUCCUGCUGCAGGACAUCCCAUUUCAUUAGGGACAGUUCAGCAUGCCUGCUCACCCCACUGGCUGCCCAAUUUGCACUGCCUGCCCCAGCGCACCAAUGGGAGUCUACACCAGAAGAGCUGCACUAUGAUCUGAUCAGCCUGUUUGAUAUGGCAGUGCCUGGUUCAAUGCCCAUUGAAAUCAAAGGCCCCUUGAUCUCAUCAGGCACCAAAUCUCAGCCCCGCUCCCUCCAGCUGAGCACAACCAUCCCGUUGUCGCCAGGCGCCCCAGCAGCUUGGGCCACCACUACAUAAUUAGAAGGCGUAAUGCUGGGUUUAACCAACGCACCGACACGGCUUCUUCUUAACAGUUGUGAAUAAUUUCCCCUGGCUUUGGAAUUCCAUUGCAGAGAGAGUUCAAGAAGCUAUUCAAAGCUUCAGGAACCACUCGUAUCUGCGGAUCUCAAAGCGUUGCAGAGACAGCAAUGCACUGCAGUGCAGGUCUCCUUGGAGAGGUGGAGUGGGGCUUCACACCAAGUGGAAAUGGAAGUACAGGGAGAACACUUUGGGUCUAUCCCAAAAAGUCCCAGUGCCCAAUCGUCAUCAUGCUCUCACACAGCAGAUGCAAGCGAGAAAUAACUACCUUGAGGAGGAGAGCAGGAAUCCAACCUGCUUCAUCCAGGCUGCCAUCUGAGGGGCUAUUCACUUUUCUUUUGCUUGUUCAGGAGCAGAGCCACCCGAGUUAGUGGGCACAUCAGUGCUUGGCUCUGUGGGACCUAAGGCUGAAAGGCUAUGCAGGAAGGGAAGCACAAACCAGAGACUGCUCCAUGCCACACAGACAGCUCAGGAUCAUUGCUGGGAGCCUGAUGUAUCGUGGGGAGAAAGGGGGCGUGGGAUCCCAACCUCACUGUCCGCAUGGAGAUGUGAGAGGCAGCGGGAAAACAUUCACCAGGAUGGGCUCAUCGCCAGCUUUGGGGUCUGCCUGAUCCCAGGAACCCCAUCGGGUCAAUAGAAGUCGCUUCCCAUCCCACUCUGCUGAGAGAAGGAAAAUCCCAUCAACAAAUAAAGAAAUGCAUAAAACAAAGCACCGAGGCUGGCAGAAGGGAGAAGAGCCCCACGCCAAGCACACGCAGCAUGUCUCAUCAGACAGGACUGUGGAGGAGCAGCAGGAACAGCAAACAGAGGACUCUGCAGCAACGGCACCGGGAGCUGCGGGGUGGAUGGUUUAUAGGCCAAAAAGUGGCUUUAUAAAACCGGAUCUUUAAAUAUUUGCUCCGACGUGGCUUCCAAGUCCCAUCUGCUGCAGCAGUUAAGCUCUCGCAGCCCUCGCACGUGGCGGUGCCUGUGUGCAGUGUGUCCCUGCUCCAAAGGCAACGCUGACAUCCCU